UGGGGAAUAUUGGGCAAUGGGGGAAACCCUGACCCAGCAACGCCGCGUGAGUGAAGAAGGCCUUCGGGUUGUAAAGCUCUGUCGCAGGGGACGAAACAAAUGACGGUACCCUGUGAGGAAGCCCCGGCUAACUACGUGCCAGCAGCCGCGGUAAUACGGAGGGGGCGAGCGUUGUCCGGAAUUACUGGGCGUAAAGGGUGCGUAGGCGGCUUGUUAAGUUGGAUGUGAAAUACCCGGGCUCAACCUGGGGGGUGCAUUCAAAACGGGCGGGCUAGAGUGCAGGGGAGGGCAGCGGAGUUCUUAGUGUGUCGGUGAAAUUCGUAGAUAUUAGGAGGAACACCAGUGGCGAAGGCGGCUUUCUGGACUGUAACUGACGCUGAUGCACGAAAGCGUGGGGAGCAAACA
rnacentral:rRNA from 1 species